AAGGGUGCGUAGGCGGUUUAUUAAGUCUAUGGUGAAAGUGCGGGGCUCAACCCCGUAUGGCCAUAGAAACUGGUAGACUUGAGUGCAGGAGAGGGCAAUGGAAUUCCAUGUGUAGCGGUAAAAUGCGUAGAUAUAUGGAGGAACACCAGUGGCGAAGGCGGUUGCCUGGCCUGUAACUGACGCUGAAGCACGAAAGCGUGGGGAGCAAAUAGGAUUAGAUACCCUAGUAGUCCACGCCGUAAACGAUGAAUACUAAGUGUUGGAGAAAUUCAGUGCUGCAGUUAACGCAAUAAGUAUUCCGCCUGGGGAGUAUGCACGCAAGUGUGAAACUCAAAGGAAUUGACGGGACCCCGCACAAGCGGUGGAUUAUGUUGUUUAAUUCGACGCAACGCGAAGAACCUUACCAGGCCUUGACAUACUCAGCAAAGCCCUAGAGAUAGGGUGGAGGUUAUCUGGGAUACAGGUGGUGCAUGGUUGUCGUCAGCUCGUGUCGUGAGAUGUUGGGUUAAGUCCCGCAACGAGCGCAACCCUUGUCUUUAGUUACCAUCAUUCAGUUGGGGACUCUAGAGAGACUGCCGGUGAUAAACCGGAGGAAGGUGGGGAUGACGUCAAAUCAUCAUGCCCCUUAUGGCCUGGGCUACAAACGUAAUACAAUGGCGUAUACAAAGGGAUGCGAAAGGGCGACCUGGAGCAAAACUCAUAAAGUACGUCUCAGUUCAGAUUGGAGUCUGCAACUCGACUCCAUGAAGGCGGAA
rnacentral:rRNA from 1 species